ACGGCCAUGACGGUUUUGCUUUCUCGGUUAGUGGGUGACAGUGGUAAGUGUUACGUGGUCCUUGGAGUCCCUGCGGCACCGUGGCGUGGGCACGUGGCAGCUGCAGGAGGGACAGAUGCUGACAGGCCGGGAUGCGUUAGGAAACUGUGACGCCUUCAGCUGGAAGAAAGUAGAGCAAGAAAAGGAGGAGGAGCGGAAUAAGGAGAAGAGGAAACCGGAGGAGGAAGACGAUGGGAGGCAAAGCGGAAAGGACUAAAAGGAGAAAAGGAGGAGUUUGGACACUGCAUCCUCCAGACCUCGUUGCUUCGGGGCGGCGACUGCAGUGGUGACGGCGGGUGUGGACGACGAUGAGGACGAAGACGAGGACGAGACAGGAUCGCUGGCCAUUCUUGUCUGUUUCUGCGUAAAGAUUUAUAUGCUGCUCAUCCCAUGCCUGUCACAAUCAAAUGUUCCGGAGAUCCUCUUGCAAUCCAGUGUAUAUAUUUGUGUCUAUGUUAUCUUGCUUCCCGUCAUCUAUCUUACGGCUUUCUUAACAUCUGCUCCCCCACUGAUGUCAUUUUGAUGUGUUGGCUUACUAGCCUAACAA